CAUGACACUGAGCUCCGCUGCUGCCGAGCUUUCCCUUCAUCUUUACUGUCCUCUGAUGUCUGAAAGCAGGACCUUGGCAUCCGUAGCCGAGGUAUAUUCUCCUAAGUGAUCAACAAAUCUCUCAGUCCUCUCUGAGAAGCUUCUAUUUGCAGUAGAUGGUGAUUAACACAGUGGCCCAAGACUAGUCCAAGUGUGGAAGGAAAAACUACCGGCCAGCCUACCCAAGCCACAGUCACCCUGCCUGGGUGUCUAGGCCAGCCCAUAUGAGCAUAUGAGGCAGGCACUUCCUCCCUGAGCCAGCUGCCUCUACACCCAGAGACUGCUGACGAAGAGAUACCUGACCCAGAGACACCAAUGAGGGAAGGACAACACAGCAGAGUCAGCUGCCUGAGCCAAUGGGA